UGGCGGAAGCGCAGAGAUUCGAACUCUGGAACCCUUUCGGGUCGCCGGUUUUCAAGACCGGUGCCUUCAACCGCUCGGCCACACUUCC
rnacentral:tRNA from 3 species